CGAGCAAAUCAGACAGUCGCGGGGACAAGGCGAAAGCCUGUCCAUGAGGAAAGUCCGGGCUCCACAGGGCAAGGAUAACGGGUAACGCCCGCCGAAGGCGACUUCAGGAAAAGUGCAACAGAGAUAUACCGCUUGAAACGCUUUGCAUUUCAAGUAAGGGUGGAAAGGCGAGGUAAGAGCUCACCCGUCGGCUGGGAACAGUCCGACGCUGUAAACUCUAUCCGGAGCAACACCGGUAUGGGGACAUACGGUUGGCCCGACCGUCCCCGGGGUGGCUUGAUCGCAGCGGCAACACUGCGGCUAGAUAGAUGACUGUCAAGACAGAACCCGGCUUACAGAUUUACUCGUACC
rnacentral:RNase_P_RNA from 1 species